rnacentral:lncRNA from 1 species
UUUUCUUUUUGAUAUUUCACCCUUUAUUUGUCGUAGUAUUUGUAGGAGUAACUUGUUUUCCUUUUGCAAGGAUAAAAGUGUUUUAUUCCGAAACUUUUGUGGAAUAAACGACCGUUUCUCUCUCAGGGACUUGAUCUCCAAAGCUAGAAGACCAUACUUGUAGCAAACAAGCGAAUCAUAUCUGAAGAUCAAAUAGGACCGCCGACCAAUCUAACUAUACAACUAGGAGAAGUAACUCUUGACACCAC